GACCUGGUGGUGUAGUGGUUACAUGCCUGCUGAGCUUGGUCAAAAGUGUACCAAUCUAUCCAGGGGCUCCGUCGUUCGAAUCGGGGCCAGGUCA